rnacentral:lncRNA from 1 species
GGAAGGGGCCGCGCCGCCGCUGCUGGGAGUUGUAGUCCGGCCGUGGUUGGGGGAGCCGCGGCUCAUGCGCGGUGCACAGAGGCUUGUUUCACAUCUGUAACAACAGGAGGAGGCCCAGCCUCGUGAUGAGGAAUAGCAAGGAGAGAAUUCAGCUCCAGUUCAAAAGCCUACAAAAUCUGAGACUGUCAUUGCUUUUAUAAGGAUUCCAGCUUUCCCUCCUGGCCAGAAAUGUUCAGCCUGGACUCAUUCAGAAAAGAUCGGGCCCAGCACAGGCAGCGUCAGUGCAAACUUCCCCCACCCCGCCUUCCACCCAUGUGUGUCAACCCUACCCCAGGAGGGACCAUCUCUCGAGGCUGAACGUUAACAUUUCCAACAUGGCAGGCAGGGGUCUGGAUUUGGUCUGCAGGCUGUAGUUUUCCAACUCCUGCUCUAGACCAGUGAGGAGAAGAACACAGAAGCAGAAGAGUUCCAAGAGCUGCUGUAAAGAGUUGCCCUUAUCUUACAAGAGUCAUUGAGCCUCAUUCCAUCUUCCUGCCUUCCAUCCACACGACUGCUGGUUUAGAUUUGCUGGAGAGUGAGCUCUGCAGGGUCCUAGCCCUGGGCAGCGCCGAGC